UAUACUGCAAGUCGAACGCACAGCGAAAGGUGCUUGCACCUUUCAAGUGAGUGGCGAACGGGUGAGUAACACGUGGACAACCUGCCUCAAGGCUGGGGAUAACAUUUGGAAACAGAUGCUAAUACCGAAUAAAACUUAGUGUCGCAUGACACAAAGUUAAAAGGCGCUUCGGCGUCACCUAGAGAUGGAUCCGCGGUGCAUUAGUUAGUUGGUGGGGUAAAGGCCUACCAAGACAAUGAUGCAUAGCCGAGUUGAGAGACUGAUCGGCCACAUUGGGACUGAGACACGGCCCAAACUCCUACGGGAGGCUGCAGUAGGGAAUCUUCCACAAUGGGCGAAAGCCUGAUGGAGCAACGCCGCGUGUGUGAUGAAGGCUUUCGGGUCGUAAAGCACUGUUGUAUGGGAAGAACAGCUAGAAUAGGAAAUGAUUUUAGUUUGACGGUACCAUACCAGAAAGGGACGGCUAAAUACGUGCCAGCAGCCGCGGUAAUACGUAUGUCCCGAGCGUUAUCCGGAUUUAUUGGGCGUAAAGCGAGCGCAGACGGUUUAUUAAGUCUGAUGUGAAAGCCCGGAGCUCAACUCCGGAAUGGCAUUGGAAACUGGUUAACUUGAGUGCAGUAGAGGUAAGUGGAACUCCAUGUGUAGCGGUGGAAUGCGUAGAUAUAUGGAAGAACACCAGUGGCGAAGGCGGCUUACUGGACUGCAACUGACGUUGAGGCUCGAAAGUGUGGGUAGCAAACAGGAUUAGAUACCCUGGUAGUCCACACCGUAAACGAUGAACACUAGGUGUUAGGAGGUUUCCGCCUCUUAGUGCCGAAGCUAACGCAUUAAGUGUUCCGCCUGGGGAGUACGACCGCAAGGUUGAAACUCAAAGGAAUUGACGGGGACCCGCACAAGCGGUGGAGCAUGUGGUUUAAUUCGAAGCAACGCGAAGAACCUUACCAGGUCUUGACAUCCUUUGAAGCUUUUAGAGAUAGAAGUGUUCUCUUC
rnacentral:rRNA from 1 species